rnacentral:rRNA from 1 species
AACGAACGCUGGCGGCAUGCCUAACACAUGCAAGUCGAACGGGACCUUCGGGUCUUGCUGCUCUCGGGUGCGUACCGCCUGGUAACCUGCCCUUAGGCUCGGAAUCACUCCCCGAAAGGGGUGCUAAUACCGGAUAAUGUCUUCGGACCAAAGAUUUAUCGCCUUUGGAUGGGCCCGCGUUGGAUUAGCUAGUUGGUAGGGUAAAAGCCUACCAAGGCGACGAUCCUUAGCUGGUCUGAGAGGAUGACCAGCCACACUGGGACUGAGACACGGCCCAGACUCCUACGGGAGGCAGCAGUGGGGAAUAUUGGACAAUGGGCGAAAGCCUGAUGCAGCGAUGCCGCGUGAGUGAUGAAGGCCUUAGGGUUGUAAAGCUCUUUUACCCGGGAUGAUAAUGACAGUACCGGGAGAAUAAGCUCCGGCUAACUACGUG